rnacentral:rRNA from 1 species
AACGAACGCUGGCGGCAUGCCUAACACAUGCAAGUCGAACGAGACCUUCGGGUCUAGUGGCGCACGGGUGCGUAACGCGUGGGAAUCUGCCCUUAGGUUCGGAAUAACUUCGGGAAACUGAAGCUAAUACCGGAUGAUGACGUAAGUCCAAAGAUUUAUCGCCUAAGGACGAGCCCGCGUAGGAUUAGCUAGUUGGUGAGGUAAAAGCUCACCAAGGCGACGAUCCUUAGCUGGUCUGAGAGGAUGAUCAGCCACACUGGGACUGAGACACGGCCCAGACUCCUACGGGAGGCAGCAGUGGGGAAUAUUGGACAAUGGGCGAAAGCCUGAUCCAGCAAUGCCGCGUGAGUGAUGAAGGCCCUAGGGUUGUAAAGC